GCGGCGGGGGGAGGCGGCGGCGGCACUGAGCCGGGCCGGGCCGGGCCGGGCCGGGCCGCAGCGGGGCGGUGGCGCUGGGCCGCGCCGCGCAGGUGCUGCCCCGCUGCCCCGCUCCUGGCUAACCAGCACCAGUUCUUCAGUGGCAAGCUUUAUGUCCUUCUCUAGUAGCUAAAGCUGCCAGUUGAAGAACUGUUGAAUGUAGCCACUCUCUUCUCAUCACCGGGACCUUGGAUGUCAGCCGGACGUGUGCCCUGAGCAACCGGGAUGAGCCAGUCUGCAGCAUCCUGUGGAUUUGAGGGCUGAGGAUGAGCCUGACCGGGAUGAAGAAUUCUCCUUGCAGCCUCUAGACAGAGCCUUGGCUGGGGGAUUGCCAGGCAGCCCUGCCAGCAGGGCUGUCGAGCGGGGUCCCCCCAUCGGUGGGGUGGCACUGAGCUGAGAGACAGCUAGAGAAGACUGAAAGAGGCAUUAAACUUUUCUGUUUUGCUGAACA